rnacentral:rRNA from 1 species
AUUGAACGCUGGCGGCAUGCCUUACACAUGCAAGUCGAACGGCAGCACGGGUGCUUGCACCUGGUGGCGAGUGGCGAACGGGUGAGUAAUACAUCGGAACAUGUCCUGUAGUGGUGGAUAGCCCGGCGAAAGCCGGAUUAAUACCGCAUACGAUCUACGGAUGACAGCGGGGGACCUUCGGGCCUCGCGCUAUAGGGUUGGCCGAUGGCUGAUUAGCUAGUUGGUGGGGUAAAGGCCUACCAAGGCGACGAUCAGUAGCUGGUCUGAGAGGACGACCAGCCACACUGGGACUGAGACACGGCCCAGACUCCUACGGGAGGCAGCAGUGGGGAAUUUUGGACAAUGGGCGAAAGCCUGAUCCAGCAAUGCCGCGUGUGUGAAGAAGGCCUUCGGGUUGUAAAGCACUUUUGUCCGGAAAGAAAUCCUUGGCCCUAAUACGGUCGGGGGAUGACGGUACCGGAAGAAUAAGCACCGGCUAACUACGUG